UCCUCCCCUUUCCUAACCCCCCUAAAUUGGCAGAGCCUAUUUAAGACACCUGUGGCAUGAAGGCUGCCUUUCUCCUUGUCUGUGCCUGGUGGCUGCCAAAUGGUCAUGUCUCUGAGUGUACUGCCUGUUUUGCAUGGAUGGCCUGGUCGUCUUGGUGUCCAUUGAAAUUGAUUUGAGUGGUGAAUUGUUCCAAACUGAUUGGAGGACAUCAGGUGCAGUGGUUGUUGGCUAGCGGUGGAGGCUAGGCACCCUGGGUGGUUCCCAGCAUCUUUCUGUUGUAGUGAUAAGGUCACUGGGACACGAUAGUCUGCACCUGUUUGCCGUGUGUUUGCUGUGAGUUCACGAGUGGUGGACACUUCCAGUUUAAUAGUAUUAUUUUUGCUUAUACAAUUCUUAAUAAAUAAAUCUUGAUUUGCUUUUGAGCCACGUCUCUGUCUUGUAGUGCUUGAACCUGUGUUUGCCUUAUUGCUUAGAACUGGGUAAAAC